rnacentral:misc_RNA from 1 species
AACGGUCUAUACCUGCGGUACCUGCGGAGGGAUCAUUACAGUGUUUUGUUGUGGCCUGCCCUCCCGAGGGCAGUGCCCCGAAACCCCACCCUUGAUUACUGUACCGUCCGUUGCUUCGGCGGGCUGCGCCCGCCGGAGGACAAUCUGAACUCUUUGUGAUAUUCGGCCGUCUGAGUGAUUUUUGAAUCGUUAAAACUUUUAACAACGGAUCUCU